rnacentral:rRNA from 1 species
UCUUGUACACACCGCCCGUCACACCAUGGGAGCGGGAUGUACCAGAAGUAGGUAGGCUAACCGCAAGGGGGCCGCUUACCACGGUGCGUUUCGUGACUGGGGUG